rnacentral:rRNA from 1 species
AUUGAACGCUGGCGGCAGGCCUAACACAUGCAAGUCGAACGAGUGGCGGACGGGUGAGUAAUGUCUGGGAAACUGCCCGAUGGAGGGGGAUAUCUACUGGAAACGGUAGCUAAUACCGCAUACCCUCGGAUGUGCCCCGAUGGGAUUAGCUCGUGGGUGGGGUAACGGCUCACCUGGGCGACGAUCCCUAGCUGGUCUGAGAGGAUGACCAGCAACACGGGAACUGAGACACGGUCCAGACUCCGACGGGAGGCAGCAGUGGGGAAUAUUGCACAAUGGGCGCAAGCCUGAUGCAGCCAUGCCGCGUGUAUGAAGAAGGCCUUCGGGUUGGAAAGUACUUUCAGCGGGGAGGCGUUACUCGCAGAAGAAGCACCGGCUAACUCCGUGCCAGCAGCCGCGGUAAUAC